GUGAAUCAUCGAAUUUUUGAACGCAAAUUGCGCUUCCUGGCAUCCCGGGAAGUAUGCCUUUUUUAGGGGCAGUAUUAAUAAAAAAUCGGUUUAGUUACGAUUUGUGACGUUGACGGAGUUUGGGCUAUCGUAACAUUUUUGGUUAAGAGUCUUAAAAUUGACCUUUUUUGCGCAUUUUUAAACGUAUAUAUAUUUUUUUUAUUGGUCUAUUCUUAAUGCCAAUAUCUUAUUAGAUGCUAUUAUAUUGUGUGUCUUCGUGAC
rnacentral:misc_RNA from 1 species